rnacentral:lncRNA from 1 species
CACGUUUUACUCGUCAUCUUAUUGUGACGGAAAAAUAACUUUCGAGUACCAUUCUUACUAUUAAAAAACGAAAAAAUUGGGAAGAACCAAUUGAAAAGGCUAAGUACGACGCAUGUGGUGUGCUGACAUGUGUGUCAAUGUCGAGACAAACGACAACUGGGUUGCGAAAUAGCAAUGGUGGAGAGGGGACUACUAACUACCGGAGGCACUGACGCGGAAGACCAGAAGCUGCCAGUCAAUGUCUCUCCGCCUUCAUGCCGCAAUUGCGAAAAGACAUGGCGUGAGCGUGAUUCUGAAUAGCCAUAUCAAUACAGGUUUGAUGAAUUCCCUUCUAUGAUGGCAAGAAAUUUGAGAAUACUAUUGUGCCUGCUCAAUUGGGCGAUAGCGAUAGCUGCGCCGGCGAUCGACUCCCUACCCCACUUGGACAACCUCCACGCAGAGUGCGGGAACCCACAAACUAGUGCAUCGUCGAUCCAUCGCAACAAGAGC